GUCCUCGUAGUUAAAUGGAUAUAACUGCCGCGUCCUAAGUGGUAAUUGCAGGUUCGAUUCCUGCCGAGGACA
rnacentral:tRNA from 1 species